AUGUAUUUUGCUUGUGAAAAUAUUGAAAUUAUUAAAGUUAUUGAUACAAUGAAAUUUAAAUUUAUUUUCUAGUUUAUUAACUAAUUCAGUAAUUCAACAAACACAUUAAGUGGCUUCUUUGUUCAAAAUAGUAUUAUGCAGGAAAAUAAGAGAGGUAAUGGAGCAGAAGUGAAGCUAGGAAGGGAAGUACAAUAUCACGCAAAAGAUACAUUCAUUUCUCCGUUCAAAGUGUUUAUCAAGUAUAAUAUGGAGUUUAAUUUGGAGUCAUUGUUUCAUUUUAUUAGGUCUGGCUUUAUUCCAUUUAUUUUAUUUUUCUACAUUCUACCCCAAGAUCCUGAAAGUUUUAUUCCUAAGCUUUAUAUUUAUUUAUUUUUUUCUAAUUUCAUUCUCCAUCCCAGUCAGUCCAUGGAGGAACUCUGGAAUGUAUGGUCUCUCAAUCAUAUAUCUCUGAGCCUCCUUGCUACCAACUCUGCCAUUUCAGCAUCAAGACUGUGUCUUUGCAUGUUCUACUUCAGCAUAAGUGGGAAAGAUCAGAUGAGCAGCCUCCUCAUGUCCAAAAGAAAAGAAGAAUAAAAUGAAAAUUGUACUCUGAUCAGUGGAAUCUAGGUUUGAUGGACAGGUUUGAAUAUUGAAAUAUGGAUAUACCUGACCAGGAAGAGUCAAACUUGGACACGUACAUGAUUUUUAUGAUGAUGAUUUUUGAUGAAUUUCUUUUGGAAUUUUUAGUUUCAUUUUGUACCAGGUACUGCCUAACUAACUCAUUUCUGUCUAUCAGUCUGGUUACUUGGCAACAACAUUCUUUUUUCCUAAAAUACUUUUUAAAGAUGACAUGAUUGUGAAAAUUAUAAUCUGGAAAAUAAAUGCGUGGGUGUUAAAAGGGUGGCCUGGUUA
rnacentral:lncRNA from 1 species